GAGAUGGAGUCUUGCUCUGUUGCCCAGGCUGGAGUGCAGUGGCAUGAUCUCAGCUCACUGCAGCCUCCACCUCUUGGGUUCAAGCAAUUCUCCUGCCUCAGCCUCCCAAGUAGCUGGGAUUACAAGUGCCCGCCACCACGCCUGGCUAAUUUUUGUGUUUUUGGUAGAGUUGGGGUUUCACCAUGUUGGCCAGGCUGGUCUCGACCUCCUGACCUGAGGUGAUCCGCCUGCCUCGGCCUUCCAAAGUGCUGGGAUUACAGGUGUGAGCCACCGCGCCCGGCCCCAUGAUUAGCUUUUAAUCACCAUUUUCAGAAGGAGGUUGGUGGCAUGCGGGGGCCGGGCUGGGGUGGCUUCCUCAGCAUGACGUCUGUGCAGAUGAGGCUUUGCAUCGUGCUCCAAAAAUACUUACCAUGUUUUGCCAGAAGAGAGGCCACCUUCUGUCCUCCGCUGAGGAUUUGAGUCCUUUUGCCCUUGGUGAGAACACCAAAGAGGACCGCCGGAAUGCGAGUUCAAAAGCAGAUUUCAAUCCUAAAUCUCUUAAACAGUCAGCAUUGGCUUGUCUCACUAGAAUACCCUGUUUCUCUUCUAGAAUUCUUCCCCUGCCUGCCCCCAAAAUGUGAAGCUUGCUGAAAUCAACUUGAAAGGAGAUAGCACAUGCCUUUUGUUUCUCCGCUCUCCCCCUAUUUCUCUUCCUUCCUGCUCCCUGCAUAAUCUGAAUUCUCUGAAGGCAGGAGGAAGCCAAGGUCAGAUUCAGGCAAGGUAAAUUUCUGAUGUGUGUGGACACGGAAGAGAAGAUGUCUAAAAGGCAACUAGAUGUGAGGCCUAGGCCCUGCAGAGUCUGCAGAGUAGAUCUGAGCUUGGAAGUCAGCAUGGGAUGGAGGCUGACCCCAGGGGAAAGGAACUGUGCAAGUGCAAGGUUUGCAUAAGUGGGUGCUUCUCAGGGUGACCAAGACCCUUCCGGAGACUUCAGUUCCUCUGACUAUAUGAGACCCAAGAGAAAAACAGCACAAAGUGCUCCUUGAGUUCAAGGGAAUACAUAAAUUCUGAACAUUUCCAUGUCUACUAGCAUACAACCUAAACAGGGAUAAAAAGACACCUUUCAAGUCAGAAAUAGGGAAGAUGCCACUUCUCUGCAUUUGCUGCUACCUCUUUAUUCCUUUCUUUAGGUCACCAAAUAUCUAUUGAGUGCUUGCUCUGUGAUCUGGCAGACAACUCAAAGGCACAGAGAUGAAGAUGAAACACACCAUGGAGCCAGGGAAGGGCCUGGAUGCUGUGGGAAACACUACAACAGGUAGAGCUCUGUAAAAAUGAGAUUUCAAUGAAGUUUACCAUCUAGUGGAGAAGAGAUCCAAGGACACCCGUGACUGAGAAAUAAAACAGAAUCAAUUGGGUGCAAUAGGAGAAGUUGCUGACAAAGGGCUUUGGAGACUGAGAAGAGAGAGAAACACCACCAAGUUCCUUGCAGAGAAAGGCAUUUGAUAAAAUGUGUGUUGAAUAAAAGGACCAGCGGUUUGUGGAGGAUGAGGAAAUGAUGGCUGUGAGAUGGGCCUGAGAGGAGGGGCAGGGUUUUGAACUGGGAGGAAAGGUGCCAUCCCAUUCAGGAGGAGGAUGAAAUCAGGGAUAAAAUGAGGUGGCUGAUAUGAAAGGAGUGGGGCAUCCUUGGCUUGGGCUUGUGAGGAGUGUGGGCCACAGUGCUAUGGGCAGUCAGGAGCCAGGCUUUCAGUUCUAACGGGGCUUAGAGAAAAGGCCGAUUCAAGUCUCUUUGCUGAUGGCAAGAGGAGGAAAGGGGGCUCUUGGUAACCGAGGACCUGCUUCUUAAGCGCUGGAGACUUCGCAUUCAUUACCUCACUUAACACUAAGAACUCUGUGAGGUAGCUCCUCAGUCCCAGCACUUUUCAGGCGUGGAAACUAAGGCUUAGAGAAGGAGUGUAC
rnacentral:lncRNA from 1 species